UGCGGGAUCGUAUAAUGGUAGUACAACGGAUUCUGGCUCCGUUUAUCCUGGUUCGAAUCCAGGUCCCGCAG
rnacentral:tRNA from 1 species